UUCAGAGUGAAAGACGAGGAAGAUAUCACAGUAAAUCAAGAAGUAGAGAGUGGGGCCGUUACUGUGAAAGAAGAGGAGGACACGUUCAGAGUGAAAGACGAGGAUGAUGUCACAGUAAAAGGAGAGGAAGAUGCAGUUUAUGGCGUGAAAGAGGAGGGGGAGGAGAUUACUUUUACAUCGAAAAAGGAGGAGGAAGAAGAGGAGGAACCUGGAUAUCUGGGCCCGGUUUCCCAAACGCAUCUUAAGGCAUCCAAUGGUUCUAACGAUGAAUUUAGCCGUAAGAUGGUUUUGAGAAACCGUUCCCUGAUUAACACUGGAGAGAGACGUGACUAUCGUGGAUCCUCUGGGGAGCCUCAACAACCUCAUGAUGCUGAGG